GGGUUGUGAGGUUAAGCGACUAAGCGUACACGGUGGAUGCCCUGGCAGUCAGAGGCGAUGAAGGACGUGCUAAUCUGCGAAAAGCGUCGGUAAGGUGAUAUGAACCGUUAUAACCGGCGAUGUCCGAAUGGGGAAACCCAGUGCAAUUCGUUGCACUAUCGUUAACUGAAUACAUAGGUUAACGAGGCGAACCGGGGGAACUGAAACAUCUAAGUACCCCGAGGAAAAGAAAUCAACCGAGAUUCCCCCAGUAGCGGCGAGCGAACGGGGAGCAGCCCAGAGUCUGAAUCAGCUUGUGUGUUAGUGGAACGGUCUGGAAAGUCCGACGGUACAGGGUGAUAGUCCCGUACACCAAAAUGCACAGGCUGUGAACUCGAAGAGUAGGGCGGGACACGUGGUAUCCUGUCUGAAUAUGGGGGGACCAUCCUCCAAGGCUAAAUACUCCUGACUGACCGAUAGUGAACCAGUACCGUGAGGGAAAGGCGAAAAGAACCCCGGCGAGGGGAGUGAAAAAGAACCUGAAACCGUGUACGUACAAGCAGUGGGAGCACCUUCGGGUGUGACUGCGUACCUUUUGUAUAAUGGGUCAGCGACUUAUAUUCUGUAGCAAGGUUAACCGUAUAGGGGAGCCGCAGGGAAACCGAGUCUUAACUGGGCGUUAAGUUGCAGGGUAUAGACCCGAAACCCGGUGAUCUAGCCAUGGGCAGGUUGAAGGUUGGGUAACACUAACUGGAGGACCGAACCGACUAAUGUUGAAAAAUUAGCGGAUGACUUGUGGCUGGGGGUGAAAGGCCAAUCAAACCGGGAGAUAGCUGGUUCUCCCCGAAAGCUAUUUAGGUAGCGCCUCGUGAACUCAUCUUCGGGGGUAGAGCACUGUUUCGGCUAGGGGGUCAUCCCGACUUACCAACCCGAUGCAAACUACGAAUACCGAAGAAUGUUAUCACGGGAGACACACGGCGGGUGCUAACGUCCGUCGUGAAGAGGGAAACAACCCAGACCGCCAGCUAAGGUCCCAAAGUCAUGGUUAAGUGGGAAACGAUGUGGGAAGGCACAGACAGCCAGGAUGUUGGCUUAGAAGCAGCCAUCAUUUAAAGAAAGCGUAAUAGCUCACUGGUCGAGUCGGCCUGCGCGGAAGAUGUAACGGGGCUAAACCAUGCACCGAAGCUGCGGCAGCGACACUAUGUGUUGUUGGGUAGGGGAGCGUUCUGUAAGCCUGCGAAGGUGUGCUGUGAGGCAUGCUGGAGGUAUCAGAAGUGCGAAUGCUGACAUAAGUAACGAUAAAGCGGGUGAAAAGCCCGCUCGCCGGAAGACCAAGGGUUCCUGUCCAACGUUAAUCGGGGCAGGGUGAGUCGACCCCUAAGGCGAGGCCGAAAGGCGUAGUCGAUGGGAAACAGGUUAAUAUUCCUGUACUUGGUGUUACUGCGAAGGGGGGACGGAGAAGGCUAUGUUAGCCGGGCGACGGUUGUCCCGGUUUAAGCAUGUAGGCUGGUUGUCCAGGCAAAUCCGGAUAAUCAAGGCUGAGGUGUGAUGACGAGGCACUACGGUGCUGAAGUAACAAAUGCCCUGCUUCCAGGAAAAGCCUCUAAGCAUCAGGUAACAUUAAAUCGUACCCCAAACCGACACAGGUGGUCAGGUAGAGAAUACCAAGGCGCUUGAGAGAACUCGGGUGAAGGAACUAGGCAAAAUGGUGCCGUAACUUCGGGAGAAGGCACGCUGGUGUGUAGGUGAAGUCCCUGCGGAUGGAGCUGAGACCAGUCGAAGAUACCAGCUGGCUGCAACUGUUUAUUAAAAACACAGCACUGUGCAAACACGAAAGUGGACGUAUACGGUGUGACGCCUGCCCGGUGCCGGAAGGUUAAUUGAUGGGGUUAUCCGUAAGGAGAAGCUCUUGAUCGAAGCCCCGGUAAACGGCGGCCGUAACUAUAACGGUCCUAAGGUAGCGAAAUUCCUUGUCGGGUAAGUUCCGACCUGCACGAAUGGCGUAAUGAUGGCCAGGCUGUCUCCACCCGAGACUCAGUGAAAUUGAACUCGCUGUGAAGAUGCAGUGUACCCGCGGCAAGACGGAAAGACCCCGUGAACCUUUACUAUAGCUUGACACUGAACAUUGAGCCUUGAUGUGUAGGAUAGGUGGGAGGCUUUGAAGCGUGGACGCCAGUCUGCGUGGAGCCAACCUUGAAAUACCACCCUUUAAUGUUUGAUGUUCUAACGUUGGCCCCUGACCGGGGUUGCGGACAGUGUCUGGUGGGUAGUUUGACUGGGGCGGUCUCCUCCCAAAGCGUAACGGAGGAGCACGAAGGUUAGCUAAUCCUGGUCGGACAUCAGGAGGUUAGUGCAAUGGCAUAAGCUAGCUUGACUGCGAGCGUGACGGCGCGAGCAGGUGCGAAAGCAGGUCAUAGUGAUCCGGUGGUUCUGAAUGGAAGGGCCAUCGCUCAACGGAUAAAAGGUACUCCGGGGAUAACAGGCUGAUACCGCCCAAGAGUUCAUAUCGACGGCGGUGUUUGGCACCUCGAUGUCGGCUCAUCACAUCCUGGGGCUGAAGUAGGUCCCAAGGGUAUGGCUGUUCGCCAUUUAAAGUGGUACGCGAGCUGGGUUUAGAACGUCGUGAGACAGUUCGGUCCCUAUCUGCCGUGGGCGCUGGAGAAUUGAGGGGGGCUGCUCCUAGUACGAGAGGACCGGAGUGGACGCAUCACUGGUGUUCGGGUUGUCAUGCCAAUGGCACUGCCCGGUAGCUAAAUGCGGAAGAGAUAAGUGCUGAAAGCAUCUAAGCACGAAACUUGCCCCGAGAUGAGUUCUCCCUGAGACUUUAAGUCUCCUGAAGGAACGUUGAAGACGACGACGUUGAUAGGCCGGGUGUGUAAGCGCAGCGAUGCGUUGAGCUAACCGGUACUAAUGAACCGUGAGGCUUAACCUUACAACGCCGAAG
rnacentral:rRNA from 2 species